UACGUAGGGGGCAAGCGUUGUCCGGAUUUAUUGGGCGUAAAGAGCGUGUAGGCGGCCAUGUAGGUCCGUUGUGAAAACUCGAGGCUCAACCUCGAGACGUCGGUUGAAACCGUAUGGCUAGAGUCCGGAAGAGGAGAGUGGAAUUCCCGGUGUAGCGGUGAAAUGCGCAGAUAUCGGGAAGAACACCCGUGGCGAAGGCGGCUCUCUGGGACGGUACUGACGCUGAGACGCGAAAGCGUGGGGAGCAAACAGG
rnacentral:rRNA from 1 species